rnacentral:rRNA from 1 species
AUGCAGUCGAACGAGGACCCUUUGAUUGGUAACUUUCGAAGGACUCCUAGUGGCGAACGGGUGAGUAACACGUGAGCAACCUGCCCCGAAGACCGGGAUAACCCAUGGAAACGUGGAUUAAUACCGGAUACCCUCUAGGGACCGAAUGGCCCCAUGAGGAAAGGCUCCGGCGCUUCGGGAUGGGCUCGCGGCCUAUCAGCUUGUUGGUGAGGUAACGGCUCACCAAGGCUCUGACGGGUAGCUGGUCUGAGAGGACGAUCAGCCACACUGGGACUGAGACACGGCCCAGACUCCUACGGGAGGCAGCAGCAGGGAAUAUUGCACAAUGGGCGCAAGCCUGAUGCAGCGACGCCGCGUGAGGGAUGAAGGCUUUCGAGUUGUAAACCUCUUUCAGUGGGGAAGAAGCGCAAGUGACGGUACCCACACAAGAAGGCCCGGCCAACUACGUGCCAGCAGCCGCGGUAAUACGUAAGGGCCAAGCGUUAUCCGGAUUUAUUGGGCGUAAAGAGCUCGUAGGCGGCUUGGCAAGUCGGUCGUGAAAGUCCGAGGCUCAACCUCGGAAUGCCGGUCGAAACUGCCAUGGCUAGGGUUCGGUAGAGGAGAGUGGAAUUCUCG